UCAGCCAAUGGGACGGGCUCCAGCAGCCAGAUGUCCACCCCCAUUUCCAAGCACUCCCCCACCUCCACCCCCACCAGUCCAGGUCCCACCAACAAGCAAAAGGAUCUGUACCUGCCCUUAUCCAUGGAUGAUGAAGAUUCCCAGGGUGAAUCCAUGUAGGUUCUCCUCCUGCUGCAGCACUGCCUCCUCUCUUUGGCCUAAUUUUGAAGUUUUAUACCAACACUCACAGUGCCACCUACCUGUUGUUCCGGGGAUUGAAACCACUCCACAUUUGUUUUGGGUUUUUUUUUUCUUUGUUUGUUUUAUUUUUUCAGGGCCAGGACACAAUUUGCUGCUUGACGAAGCCACAAACCAUUUUUUAAAACCAGUUUCAACCACAAUCUGCUCACACAAGUUUAAAAUCCGUCUCUAGUUCUAUAAAAAUACUACACUAGUUCUCCAGUAGGGGGAGCACAAACUCACAGAGCUCAUGCACAUUUCACGGGUGUAACACACGUUCCACUUUUGUUUCAGACACUUUGUAAAAAAAA